AACGAACGCUGGCGGCAGGCCUAACACAUGCAAGUCGAGCGGACCCUUCGGGGUUAGCGGCGGACGGGUGAGUAACGCGUGGGAAUAUGCCCUUCUCUACGGAAUAGUCCUGGGAAACUGGGGGUAAUACCGUAUACGCCCUUUGGGGGAAAGAUUUAUCGGGGAAGGAUUAGCCCGCGUUGGAUUAGGUAGUUGGUGGGGUAAUGGCCUACCAAGCCGACGAUCCAUAGCUGGUUUGAGAGGAUGAUCAGCCACACUGGGACUGAGACACGGCCCAGACUCCUACGGGAGGCAGCAGUGGGGAAUCUUAGACAAUGGGGGAAACCCUGAUCUAGCCAUGCCGCGUGAGUGAUGAAGGCCUUAGGGUUGUAAAGCUCUUUCAGCUGGGAAGAUAAUGACGGUACCAGCAGAAGAAGCCCCGGCUAACUCCGUG
rnacentral:rRNA from 1 species